AUCGCGGCCGGCUGGGCCCAGGCCCGGCUUAUCCCGCAGAUCAACUAUCAGGUGGAGCUGCGGUUGUUCGAGGCCACCACUGCGGUG
rnacentral:tRNA from 1 species